AGCAGAAUUGCUGGGUCAUAUGGUUACUCUGUGUUUAGAGAAGAACUGCCAAACUGUUUUCUAAAGUAGCUGCACCAUUUUACAAUCCUACCAGCAAU
rnacentral:pre_miRNA from 1 species